GGGGAGUGAAGAGGAGGUGGACACUGGAUGUAAAGGGAAGAAAGAAUGGAUUGUGCCUGCAAGACACCACCCCCAUCUUUUCUUCACAGGAGUCCACCAAAGCACCAUGCAUAGACCAGCAAUAAGAGUCCCUCUGCUGAAUGGAAGACUGAAUUGGAAAGCCAAAGAGCACAAACACUCCAGGACUUGAAGGGGAAAACAUUAGAAGCAUGGCUUCCAUCCAGAGCCAAUUACAGAAAACAACAGCUCCCUAGCACUAUUGCCGACAAUAAUCUCAAGGAAAGAAUUGCACCUACUCAAGCCUGAGAACAUAUUCAAGAAGUUAAUUAUUUCCCUAGCAUGGUCCUGGGAGCAGCCUUUUUUUUUUUUUUUUCCAUGUUUCACUAUAAAGUGCCAUGGGGUAUUAUUCCUGUGGAACAUAUGGGGUACUAUAUAAAACCAAGUUGUUGCUGAUUUUACUUAAAAU
rnacentral:lncRNA from 12 species